CAUGAUUUGAUAAGCACUUACAGUAGGAUUUAUACAGGACUUAAACAUGGAAGACUUUUUAACCAAACCAGUCCUUACUAGAAUAUAUGGAAGUUUUAGCAAGGUUUCACUAGAUUAUAAAUUCCUGAAAUAUAUUGUGAUUUUAUCAGUUUAUUGUUGUCAUUCUGAUUUGGGCAUUGCUUUGAAGAUUCAAAGUCAAAAUCUAAAAAUUAUUUUUCUCUUUCUCUUUGUUUUUCUCUACUCAGCAGGGAUCCUCAAAAAAUGUCUCACAGCUUGUGGAUGUACUCACCAGUAUAUAGCAACACGAAGGACUUAAGCUUUUCCUUUUACUAGCAUACACGUGAAGUUUCUUGUAACUACAUGUAUUCCUUUUAUUAUUGUCCCAAAGUAAUUCAUUCUUCAGCAUAUGCAUCUUGUUUACAACAGAUAAAUCAGUUUGAAAAGAAAACCCAGUCAUCUGCUUUUUAUCUAAAUUAUAUUUCCAUGGGGUAGUGCAAAACAAUUUCAUUUUAUACAGCAUUCUUAUAUUACUAUCACAAAACACUUCAAGGGCUAAGUCAAUCACCAGCUAAAGAGAAGUAGAAGGUAUUAAAGUGAGAUUUAGAAGAGAAAAUGUGCAAAUGGAUCAUAGAAGCAGAGCACUGCGGAUAGGUAAAAAUAAUAUGUGUACCUUUAGCUGCAGAGUAGGUUGGAAGAGAAUAGUUGUUCCAGGCUGAGAAAAAAAGCAGGGUAGAGAGACUUUAUUUGCUAUAAGCUCAUUCAUAUGGUUCUCAUCACUAUAAUUUUCCAUACCUCCUUAUACACCCACAAUAUAUAAUUUUUCUUCUUUUUGUCUUCCUUUUGCUCCGGUGUAAUUUUUUAUGUAUUGUCCUUGUUAUGUGUUGCUGUUGUGGGAAAAUGAGGGUCAAAGAUGUGGACUUUGCACUGAAGAUAAGGACGUUGCCAUCAACUGGUCAUGUUCAGGAAUGAGCUGUAAAUUCACAGACUGCUCUCUGGGGAAGUCCUAUCCCUGCAUUCUGAGGGCAGUAGGGUCAUAUGGCUGACAAAUCCAUCAGAUGUCUUUCUCAGGCUGAAUGACCAGAAUCAAGCAUACAGUUCAAGAUGAGGGCAUGCUAUUGUUUCUUCUAACGGCAUUAACAUUAUAGAAGAAUACAAGACUAUAUUCUGCCAGCAGUGAUGCUCUAUAAUCUGCUACUUCUGCCGCCCCAAAGGCUGUGAUCACACCCUUUGUUACUUUUCACUGUUAACUCUUGGUCAAGGGCAAUGCUUUAAAUGUUCACAGACUAACACAAAGAAAAUCAUCUCCUGUUUUAACAGAAAGCUACAUUUAUCACAAAUGGGGGAGAAGGUCACUGAAUCACUUCAUCUUUUAAAAAGUGAAAGAAAAAUGACUGAGAAAUCACUCUGCAAUGAACAAAAGCUUCAAAAUCUCUUUACAAAGCUUUUGGAGAAGGCUGAAUAGAAGGCUUUGCAACAAUACCUGUUACAAACAGCAUUGCUUGGUUUUAAUGAAUGAGGAACAGAGGAAACCACAUAUAAAUUCUAUGUCUGGAACAAGAAAAGGUUCCCCUUCUUAAAUCUGUUCUCCCAGAGGCACUACCACCGUCG